rnacentral:rRNA from 1 species
CACGGGGGGGAGCAAGCGUUGUUCGGAAUCACUGGGCGUAAAGGGCGUGUAGGCGGUCAGGUAAGUCAGACGUGAAAUCCCUCGGCUCAACCGGGGAACUGCGUCUGAUACUGGGUGGCUUGAAUCCGGGAGAGGGAUGCGGAAUUCCAGGUGUAGCGGUGAAAUGCGUAGAUAUCUGGAGGAACACCGGUGGCGAAGGCGGCAUCCUGGACCGGCAUUGACGCUGAGGCGCGAAAGCCAGGGGAGCAAACGGG